GCAUGCUUCUAGCACAAACAAGCGCCCACCAGAGUAUAUAUCUUAUUGGACUCAGGAUGCACACUUCGUGAUGUCAUUAAUUCUGCAACACAACUUUUAUCUCAAGUAACGUGAAGAUGAUUUGCCAACAUGAAGACUGCAGACGACAAGGUUUCCAAGGAUUUAUGGGUCUUUAGCAUCUUACAAUGACCACAAACUAAUUUUCACACUUGCACAUAUACAGGAAAAGCCAAGAAAGUAGUGCAGUGUGAGAAAUCAAGAAACAUUGAUCUACAAGGAUUUCAAUAAUUUUGUUGAAUACUGUAAGUACUAUGGAUGCUACAGUUAAAUUGAACUGCGUAAGCAAGGGUUUCAGCUCUCAAGACACUCAAUUGUAAAGGACUUAGCUGGCAGCAUCUUUGAAUGAACUUUACACGGCUGGCACCGAAAAGCUUUCUCUGUCACUGAAACACGUUGUACAAUUACAAGAUGGAUGCUCCACUGAAUGAGAGGGAUGGAAGACUUUUAAUGAUGGUUCUACUUUGCUGAAAUAGGAAUGAGCUUCCAAUGAAUAAAGCGAUCUAUAACUCUUUGGAUGAAGAUGAGACACUAAGAGAGCUGAUUUAGUAGGUCUGACAAUCAAACCGGACUGAAUGGGAAGACUUUAGCCGACGAAGAAACAAAGAAUUACCAAAGAUAAAUUUACAAUUGUAAAAGCUCUCACAUGCAUCACAUAUCACAUGGUCUGUAAAAAAUAAUAUUCUUGGCUUAGGACAUAAUAGGAUUUUAUCCCAUGAAGA